rnacentral:lncRNA from 1 species
GGCAAUCAGCCCACGACAGUACAGGAAGUAGACGUUCUAGGACUGACUCCAGAACGAUGAAUCAAAUACAGGAGUCAGUACUCCGACAAGAAAUCACAGUACAAAGGAGCCAGGACACUCUCAAUAACAUGACAGCCAUGAUGCAAUGACAGGUUAACAGACAGUUCCGGAAGGACCGAGAAUCCUCCAUGGCCAGAAUCCCAAACCCGAAUGCUGUAGUCCAGCAGUUAGAUCUCCCUUAUGGCCCUCCGCCAAGACUAGCAUGGCCAUACAAGGAAA